GGAAUGAUUUGUUUAAUCAUGAAAGGACCUCCAGUGAAACUCACCUAAUCGAAGGGGGUCUAUGGGAACUCAUGAAGAACGGACCGCAGGAGAAAGAACAUAACGCAAUACAACUAGUGGAGGGUUAGGCCGCAAGGGCAUUGCGACCUUGGGGCCUGCAGUGAUCAAUAACAGGAUGUAGAUCCGGUUAGAACCGAUACUGUCAGCAAGCAUGAAACUGAGGUGUGCAAUGGAAAAGUACCGAAGCAGAACUUGUAACCAUAAGAAACGAAGUAGACAGAGUAAAAAGGAGCAGCGAAUAAGGAACUUAGCUUUUGCAAUAUGUAUUAGGCAAAUAAGAUGUAACCAAUGAGCUUUGUGCACGAUUAUCUUAAAAUAUGUAUGCAGCCUUAUAAAAGGCAUGUUAAGAACAAUAAAGUAGAUCUGAUUUCCACCUGACCAGGUCUCCUUCUCUCAAUCGCGGCAAAUUGGUGACCCCGACGUGAUGGUCAACAAACUGCCUAGCUGAGCGGCCUGCUGCGACUCUCACAGAACUUUGAAUGAUCUGCUGAAAGGAAGCAGGAACGACCGGUCUGAAAUCCCUCCGGAGUAGAGAGAGGGAGGCCCCCGAUGGAUCCCAGCAAAGAACGUGCGACCAUUCCGUGAACCUUUACCACAAGUUUCGUCCAAAGAUUCUGAACAGCGUUUAGAAGAACCUCUCACAAAAGGAGCAGAGCCUGAAGACUCAAGUAUUUUAAAUGAAUAGUUGCUAUACGCGUGAGUGUCGCGAAGUACUCCUUAGGGAAGUUUUUUGCAAUUUGUGCGGACAUUGUGACCCUUGAGUGUUAUGUGUAUGUUAUACUUGUGGCAAAGAGUGGUUAUUGAGAGGGCUAAACUCAUAUAGAUUUUUGGUUUGGAAUGCAGUAAAACUAAUUUAGUACCUGCUAUUUGGCUAGUCUGGAAAGAAGACUGGGAACGUACAAAGCAAAAGUGUGAAAGACGGUUUGCCUGGAAAAGGAAAACCAGGCGGUAAAACCGAUCUUUUAAAAAAAAGAAAAAUGAAAAUGAUUAAGAGUAGCUUUGGCAUGAUGUGCCUCUUAACAGGAAUCAUUACCUCCAUCCUCGUUAGCAGCACGAAAGCUUGGGAAACCCUCAAGCACAUAGAGGAUAGAAAAAACCUAUGGGUCACCUGGGCAGAGAAAAAUCAAUCAGAGUAGCCUUUGUCUCUCGAUGGCUACUCCUUCUGACCCUUUUAGAACGUGUUUAUUAGGCAUCCCUAUUAACAUGAGCCUGGUAAACAACUCUACUAUAACCCUUGACCCUUCUGUUGUCACAUGUGGUCUCCGGUUACUUGGUAAGGAACCUCCGUGCUGUGACAAAAAUAAUAUUACCUUUAACGCUUCUUCCCCCUUUAUGUCAUGCAAUAGCUCUCUGUGUACCACAGCUAGGGAAAUACAGGAGUUUAAUCUUUUAGGCUCUGCCCCCUCAGAUCAAUGUUUUUGGUUUAAUUCUCAUAGUAGUCAAGAUAAUCCCGUUGAGGUCACGUCGUAUAGGCCAUACAACGUGACAACAUAUUGUCAAAAGAAUGUUAGCCUUACAGUGGUCACAUCCAAAGCAGGGCGACUACCAGAGGGAAUGUUUUUAAUCUGCGGUGAUCGAGCUUGGCAGGGAAUUCCUCGAAGCGCUAAGGGAGGGCCUUGUUAUGUUGGCCGUUUAACGCUAUUUACACCAAGUAUUACUAAUAUCUUUCAAGCCAACCAUACCCGCAGAAAAAGAGCUCUUGUAGAAUUAGGCGAUGAUUGUAAAGACAAUGUAGAACUUUGGAACCCUCCUGAAGUUAUUUUAGCUAGUAUAUUUGCCCCCGGGAUAGCUACAGCACAGGCAUUGACACAACUAAGGAAAUUAGCAUGUUGGACCGGAAAACAGAUUAAUGUAACGACAAACGUUUUGUCUGAAUUGGCCAGUGAUGUCCAAGGAAUAAGACAUGCCCUGCUACAAAAUCGUGCCGCAAUCGAUUUUCUACUUUUAGCACAAGGGCACGGAUGUGAAGAGUUUGAAGGAAUGUGCUGUAUGAACCUUUCUGAUCACUCCCAAUCAAUACACAAACAACUCUCUAUUUUGAGAAAUAAUAUGAAAAAACUUUGAGAAAAUAGUGAUCCUUUUACAGAUUGGUUAUCUUCAUUAGGUUUGUCUGGAUGGUGGAUUACAAUUUUAGAAAAAAUAGCUGUUGCAAUAAUAAUAGUGUUGUUAAUUUUGCUUUUGCCAUGUGUUAUGUAAUGCUUACAGAAGCUGAUAGCUAACUCUGUGAAACGAGUUCUUAUGGUGCAACAAGAAGGGGGAGAUGAAGGGAAUGAUUUGUUUAAUCAUGAAAGGACCUCCAGUGAAACUCACCUAAUCGAAGGGGGUCUAUGGGAACUCAUGAAGAACGGACCGCAGGAGAAAGAACAUAACGCAAUACAACUAGUGGAGGGUUAGGCCGCAAGGGCAUUGCGACCUUGGGGCCUGCAGUUAUACAGUAACAGGAUGUAGAUCCGGUUAGAACCGAUACUGUCAGCAAGCAUGAAACUGAGGCGUGCAAUGGAAAAGUACCGAAGCAGAACUUGUAACCAUAAGAAACGAAGUAGACAGAGUAAAAAGGAACAGCGAAUAAGGAACUUAGCUUUUGCAAUAUGUAUUAGGCAAAUAAGAUGUAACCAAUGAGCUUUGUGCACGAUUAUCUUAAAAUAUGUAUGCAGCCUUAUAAAAGGCAUGUUAAGAACAAUAAAGUAGAUCUGAUUUCCACCUGA